rnacentral:rRNA from 1 species
CCUACGGGGGGCAGCAGUGAGGAAUCUUGGUCAAUGGACGAGAGUCUGAACCAGCCAAGUAGCGUGAAGGAUGAAUGCUCUAUGGGUUGUAAACUUCUUUUAUAUGGGAAUAAAACGUUCCACGUGUGGGAUUUUGUAUGUACCAUAUGAAUAAGGAUCGGCUAACUCCGUGCCAGCAGCCGCGGUAAUACGGAGGAUCCGAGCGUUAUCCGGAUUUAUUGGGUUUAAAGGGAGCGUAGGUGGAUUGUUAAGUCAGUUGUGAAAGUUUGCGGCUCAACCGUAAAAUUGCAGUUGAAACUGGCAGUCUUGAGUCCAGUAGAGGUGGGCGGAAUUCGUGGUGUAGCGGUGAAAUGCUUAGAUAUCGCGAAGAACUCCGAUUGCGAAGGCAGUUCACUGGACUGCAACUGACGCUGAGGCUCGAAAGUGUGGGUAUCAAACAGGAUUAGAUACCCGAGUAGUC